rnacentral:lncRNA from 1 species
GUUGCCAGACCCUCUGCUAGUUGCUGAGCACAAGGAAGAUUAAGGUAAGUACUGGCUUCAGAGAGCUUAGCAUCUAGCUGGCCAGAGGUAUUGACACAAGAGAAUAUGUGGGGUGUUACAAGCAAAGACUGAAAGACAGGACCAAAAGGGCAAAAUAGGGACUGAUGGCCUUGAGUCCUCACGCCAAGGAAGAUUUCCAAGUGGAGAUGUGAAGGGCAGGCCAGAAAGCCACUGAGAAGGGGUCAGAGAGAGGAGGAUGGAGGGUGCCACAGGAAACUUGCAGAGGUGUACUCAUCACAAGUAAGGGAAACACAGUGCCAGAGCCAAGCAGGCCAAUGUGUACCUGUACAGAGGCUGGCCAGACUGGAAAGACAGGAGGGAGAGAGAACAUAGGCCUUGAUAAGGAAGAGGCAGCUUCUAAAAUAGGGGGAUGAGGGACAGCUGUUCUCCCAUGACCACUGACAGGAUGAACAGCUAUCAGACAAGGGCUCCUGCGGAGUCAGCCUGCAGAGGGCAGGCUUUAGGGGGGGACUUUUCAACAGAUGGAGUGAAAUCCAGUCACCAGCUGCAAAACUGGUUUUAUCCUUCUUUAUUCUUAAGUUCCUGCCCUGAUCUGCUGGAAGAAUAAGUGUUAAGAGCUUUUAAGGAGAAAGCAUGGAAAUUGUUGCUCCAACAGUGAGUAGAGCUGCCAUGUCCUAUGUGGGAAGAAAGAGGGAAAUGUUUUUUGUCUCCCCCACACUUCCUUUAGGUAUUUACUGCAUACAUGUGGACUGCCAGUCAAACCUCUCUUUUUUCCUGAAGAGGAACAGGAGUUAACGGGAACAAGGAAGUUUUCUGAAAUUACUAGUCCCAUCUUCCAACCUCAAGAGUUUGUCAAGGACAAGGGAUUGAAGCUGUGAAAUCCAGUCAAAUUCAGGUGGCCAAAGGGGCCUGAAACAUCACCAUUUGGGACAGAUUACAGGCACCUUCUGAAAGUGAAAUUUAUACACACUCUCUUACUAGUAUACAAGCAUCUUCAGUGAGAACCUCAACAUGUGGCUGAUUUUUCUUCCCAACACAGACAUCUGAGGACAAAGCACUGGGCAAUGGAGACCACACAGGUGGGUGAGCAACCCAUAAUAGUAAAUAGUAAGAAGAGAACGAUGUGGUCAGACAGUGCCUCUGCCUGCACUUGGACAUCUUCUCUAAACCUUGUGGUGAAUGUAAAGAUCUGUCUUAACUUUAUGAAAAUCCAGAACAAGAGUGACUUAUGUGUACAUUAGAGAUAUUGUUUGUUUCUGAUAUUAGUGGCAUCUUCAAAAGAUUCCCUUUAUCUAUCUCCAUUCCCUGUUUAUCCAUUGAGGGAACUAAACUCAUGAUUACUAUGAUGAGCUGAUAAAUCUGCUUAAGAGCACUGGGGACAAAAGGACAACUAACAAAAUGGAUAAUCACUUGCUUUGUUUGUUUGGUUUUUACAGUUUUAACUUGCUGAACCAAUGAGGAGACCAUAUGUAUACAUACAUACAUACAUACAUACAUACAUAUAUACAUAUAUAUGUGGGGCAGUGGGCUGUGCACAGACAGCCUGGUCUCCAGUCGAGCAUAGGUCUUGAACUCCGGAGGACUCAAUGGGUGGUGAUUUCUACCUACAUGGGAAGGAAGGUGUUCAAUAUUGUCUCCUGGACCCCUGGCUCCUGUCGAAGUUACCCACCCCACCCCACCCCCACCGCCAGCCUCCACAGGAGAUGUAUGUGAUUAUCAGUCACGGCAAACAAUGUCCCAAGAUCCUGGCAUUCUGGCUAGACUCCACACCAGUUACUUGACUAUAGUCAGGUAUGCUCCUCCCCACAGUUAUCUGAUAGCCCAGCCCACUAUAAAAGGGUCUGUGUGGCCCCUCCUCGUUCUCUUUAGCUCUCACCUUUCUUAUUCUCAUCUCUAGCCCUCCUUCUCUCUCUCUCUCUUCCCCCCUCUCUCCACGUGGCCAUGGCCAACCUCUCUCUUUCUACUUUCUCUCCUUGAUCUUGCCUUUCUACAAUAAAGCUCUAAAACCAUAGACUGUCUCUGGUCAUCAAGGCCUGCUGUGCUUGAAUGUUGGGAUAGGCUUUCUCCCAAUGAGUCACAUCUAACCUCCCACCAGAAGGCCUUCCUGUGCUCCAGCCACGGACUGGACCAAGGACUCUUGCCCAUGUGAGAAUCAUCCAGUGCCCCUCUCUCUUCCUGUCUUCUCCUCCUGUCAGCCCAGGGACUGACUGAGCUGCCCCUGGGGCCCCCAUUCUGUUCUCAGCUCUUCUGCUGUGUCCAGUGGUAUCUGGGAUUCCUGAGGCUGAGAACCUGGUACCUAGGACUGCCCCUUGUCCACCACCCGCUGAACUGGGCCAGUGGCUUCAGCCAGGCACCCACCUGGGGCCACAUGGAAAUUGUGUGGCAGUCCUUCAGCAUCCACUCGCCUAGAGCACCAGAACUCCGGCAGGACACAGGUUUUCCCCCCACUCCCUCUUUCCCCCAUGCCUUCUACCCCGCAUACAUACACACAUACAUACAUACAUACAUACAUACAUACAUACAUACAUACAUAUAUUCCUUCCUACAAAUGACUAAUGAUGAGUAAAACUCAACUCACUCUAGGGAUCUUCUGUUGCUCCAAAUGACUUGAUGACAAUGAUGUAAUUAAUUUCUAGCCCCUGAUCCUGUUGUCACUGCUGCAUGGAAUGCCUUCUAGCAUGCCAGCCACAUUUAGAAUAACCUUCCUGCUGUACAGCAGAGUCUACUUUUUUGACCCCUGACUGUUCUUAUAAUUUUCUUGGACUCAUUAGAGUUCUGCACUCUUAGACAACAAAGUUCUCAGGUAUUUGAUCUCUAACUACACUGUUCACACCUUAUGGAGAGAGAUGGGAUCUUACAUAUCUCUAGUGUCUAGUGAGUAGCAUACAUUGUAGUAUUCUUUUUUAAAUUGAAUGGAAUUAUUUAUCUACCCUUCUGUUCCAAUGCUAGGCUACCAGCCUUAAGUUGGGAUGAAUGGUGCCAAAGGAUAUAAGAGAAAUCUUAAAGCUGAUCAAGUCUUCAGGAGAACAGUACCAAUAGAUUCCCGGAACCCCUCUUGAUGUUUAGAAGGAACACAUGUUCUGAAUACACAAUUGUUGGUCCCUGGGAGCCAGUGGGUGAAGGGAGAUUUAUAGGAAAGGAGGAGAGCACUGAAGACAUGGGAACCUGGGUACUGUAUUUGGGGCUACCACUACGAGGAUGCUUAUCACUGUGCUUUUUCCAGAUUAGGGCUUUGGAGUAAGGUGUGAUUUUGGAGAAGGAAAGACACCAGAGAAGAGCAGUUAUCCAGCUUAUGAUAUAUGUUCUCACAGAAGUAACUGUGGUAGGAAAGAAGGGAACAUUCUAGAAUUAGAUAUGUAGCUAUGGACAUGAAAAAAAAACUGAGUAAGAAACUUCAGAUCCAGAGCCUAGAAGCCAUUGUGUACAUUGGAAGUUAAAGGCACAGAGUGCAAGCCAGGCAGAUCCUGCAGAACAUCAGUUAGGAUAGUGCAAACAUGCUUCCUUUCCCUAUCCUAAGAGAAGAAGACUUCCCAAAGGGUAGGGAAUGUCACUAGGUUUGGUGCUGGGGAAAAGAGACUGAAAAUGUGUCCAGCAGAUCAUUUGCCUCACCAAUCUUCUGGUGUUCAGGCUGUGGGCCAUCCAUCUCUGGGGGUGGAUUAUAUUUUGGACAAAGACCAAGAACUGGAGAGAAAAGGGCUAGAAAAGAAGAAAUCUCUACCCAACAACUCUCUGAAUAGCCACCCAAGCCUUCAUUGUUUUUACAGUGUGUUAACUACAUAAUUUGUUUUGGACUCUUUGGUUGUCUUCACCAUCCUGAUCUGACAUGCUAUUAUUGGAGGAAAAGAAUUUGAACUUGGAAAUUAUCCAGAAGGGAUAGGUAGAUAAUGCCUUCACUUUCUUCCCAGGACUGAUUCUUGUCCAUGGCCUCAGGUACAGCCAUCUGUUUUCCCAUCUGUAAAGUGGGUUAGUAUCUGUGCUUUGACAGAAUACCAUGAGAAUAAAAGUGCUUACCAUAUUUCUCCUUUGAACUCAGUGUGUUUUCAUUGUCAUGACAGACCGAUCUUCUUUCUCUCUUGAAGGCACAGGCACAGACCUGGAGGCAUCUCACACAUGCUUGCCUCUCCCUGUCCCUCUUAGCAGAACUGUAAGAAGGGCACUUCACGUGAUCGAGUGGUUGAAUGGGAAGAGGCAGAAGAUAAUCAAGGCAGUGAAGAACUUCAUACCCCAGUAGCAUCCAUAACCCCA